CCCAGCUCGUCAUGCUAGAGCACUUUUUCAAUGUGCUCCCCAACGAGAAGGCGACAACGCAUUUGUAUGUCAAUCCAUAUCAACUUUCGAUGCCAUUGACUGUGCCUACCAUGGUGACCACGGGUAACAGGGAAUCAGGGUUCCAUUCCGUACAGAGACCCUGACAAAUGGCUACAACAUGCAAGGAAGGCAGCAGGCGCGCAAAUGACCCACUCCCGACGCGGGAAGGUAGUGACG